UACGUAGGGGGCUAGCGUUGUCCGGAAUCAUUGGGCGUAAAGCGCGUGUAGGCGGCCCGGUAAGUCCGCUCUGAAAGUCGGGGGCUCAACCCUCGGAUGCGGGUGGAUACUGUCGGGCUUGAGUGCGGAAGAGGCGAGUGGAAUUCCUGGUGUAGCGGUGAAAUGCGCAGAUAUCAGGAGGAACACCUAUUGCGAAGGCAGCUUACUACGCCUAUAUUGACGCUGAGGCACGAAAGCGUGGGGAUCAAACAGG
rnacentral:rRNA from 1 species